GCGCUCGUAGCUCAGCUGGAUAGAGCAUCGGCCUUCUAAGCCGAGGGUCGUGGGUUCGAGUCCCGCCGGGCGCACCA
rnacentral:tRNA from 1 species